UCAACGCCGCGUGCGGGAAGACGGCCUUCGGGUUGUAAACCGCUUUCAGCAGGAACGAAAAUGACGGUACCUGCAGAAGAAGGUGCGGCCAACUACGUGCCAGCAGCCGCGGUGACACGUAGGCACCAAGCGUUGUCCGGAUUUAUUGGGCGUAAAGAGCUCGUUGGCGGUUCAGUAAGUCGGGUGUGAAAACUGUGGGCUUAACCCACAGCCUGCACCCGAAACUGCUGUGACUAGAGUUCGGUAGGGGAGCGGGGAAUUCCUGGUGUAGCGGUGGAAUGCGCAGAUAUCAGGAGGAACACCGGUGGCGAAGGCGCCGCUCUGGGCCGAAACUGACGCUGAGGAGCGAAAGCGUGGGUAGCAAACAGGAUUAGAUACCCUGGUAGUCCACGCCGUAAACGUUGGGCACUAGGUGUGGGUCUCAACCAACGAGAUCCGCGCCGUCGCUAACGCAUUAAGUGCCCCGCCUGGGGAGUACGGUCGCAAGACUAAAACUCAAAGGAAUUGACGGGGGCCCGCACAAGCAGCGGAGCGUGUUGCUUAAUUCGAUGCUACGCGAAGAACCUUAACUAGGUUAAAUCAUAGUGGAAAGCAACAGAGAUGUUGUGUCCUUC
rnacentral:rRNA from 1 species